rnacentral:rRNA from 1 species
AGAGUUUGAUCAUGGCUCAGAGUGAACGCUGGCGGCAGGCCUAAUACAUGCAAGUCGAACGGCAGCACGGCAGAGCUUGCUCUGUGGGUGGCGAGUGGCGGACGGGUGAGGAAUACAUGGGAAUCUGCCCAGUCGUGGGGGAUAACGUAGGGAAACUUACGCUAAUACCGCAUGCGCCCUUCGGGGGAAAGCCGGGGACCUUCGGGCCUGGCGCGAUUGGAUGAGCCCAUGUCGGAUUAGCUAGUUGGCGGGGUAAUGGCCCACCAAGGCGACGAUCCGUAGCUGGUCUGAGAGGAUGAUCAGCCACACUGGAACUGAGACACGGUCCAGACUCCUACGGGAGGCAGCAGUAGGGAAUAUUGGACAAUGGGCGCAAGCCUGACCCAGCCAUGCCGCGUGAGUGAAGAAGGCCCUCGGGUUGUAAAGCUCUUUUGUCCGGAAAGAAAAGCGCCGGGUUAAUACCCUGGUGUCCUGACGGUACCGGAAGAAUAAGCACCGGCUAACUUCGUG